rnacentral:rRNA from 22 species
UUGACCUCGAAUCAGGUAGGACUACCCGCUGAACUUAA